GCAGGUGUAGCCUAGUGGUAAGACGCUGGCCUUGAGUGUAGACGAUACAGAGUAAGCCAGUGCGCGUGAGCGCUCGGGGGUUCAAAUCCCUCCACCUGCG
rnacentral:tRNA from 1 species